AUGACACAGCUCGUCAUUGCUUGUGUAGCAUCUGACAGAGCAGGUGUCCCGCUUGGUGUUCUCCCAACACAGCAGAAGCUGUUCCAUACAGAUGGGACCAGGAUAACCCAGCCAAGUGUCCCCAGUCAUGAAGGCUGCCAGGGGUAGAUUGCACCCUGGUUGGAAGGAACUCACCCAGCACUGGUGAUAACAGUACUCCAUAUCCAGAACAGAGGGGUUGAUAACGGGUGACAGGCAUCAAGAUGGAUGAGAACACGCUUGCCUAUCACACUAAGCUUCACCAGUGGUAUGAGCUCCACAGACUCAACCGUAGCGGAGACAUGGCCAGUCUCAAGCUCCCAGAAGAUGGAGCUCAUCUCACUCCGCAAAAGGCUGUUGAAAUUGACCUGUGGAGAAAGGAGGUCAAUAAAAUCUUCGUAAAACCGAAGAAAAUCGAGAAGAAAUCUGAAUUCUGGAGAUGUCAUAUGAGCUCCGACCUCGGCUACUAAAUAUUACAAUAACUCCGACCCACGUCGGGUCAAAUCGGCCAGAUUCUUCUCCAACCGGAACAAAACAGGAGCAGUUGACAUCAAUGCUUUGCCAUCUCACUUGGCUGAAAUGUCCAUCCAUUACAACCGUGAACGAAGGGGUGUUUACACACCAGGGUUCUCAGCCGAAGACUUGCUGGUUAAGGGUAGAAAGCAAGAGCUUCACCUACCGCAGUUUCUCCGAGCAAUCCGAGGUCAAGGGUCAGAUGAAGGGACAAGUCAAAGAGGAGGCACCCAUGUUUCCAUCCCCAAUCCUGUCCGUGACUGUGAAGUUACAACCAACAAUGAGUCAGGUGUAUGCACAGAAACAGCCGACGAGGCCCCAGAGGGCCGAAAAGCUAUUGUCUGUGAUCGCUCUCAAUCAAACAACCUCCUGAAUGUCAUGUCUAUCGAUGACUGUAAAAUGGGUCUCAGAUACCGACCACAACGAGUGAUUAGCUCUCAUGAGUUGGAGAGAUGUGAUGAUUCAACAAACGGUGACAGUAACAUAGAUGAAAAUGGGAAUGCUCAUCCCUUACGAAUUAGCCAAGGGACUGGAUCAGGAAUGACACCAGUCUCCCAAACAAGAAUUAACUCAUUACUUUCUGCUCAGAGAAUAAAACACAAGCACUUGGUGAUAAAUGGCAACAAUGUGGCUCCAGAACGACCUCAGUCGGCCAUCUUGGCUCGAGCCUUUGACACUAUCCUACAAGAAAACUCCAUGCUAUCAGCCCCACUGCACCCAAAGGAGGUUCGUUUCUUUGCUGGCAGCAAGGACAUGGGGUACCCCGCCAAUGGUAAGCACAUUUAUCAAAGACUAAACUCAACACUUAAGAACAAAAUGAACAAUGUGGUGAAGGCACGGUGUGAUGGCUUAAGGCGAAAGGACUCAAUAAGCGCUCGUGUGCAAUACAAUGGAACAGACAGCCUUAAGUUCAGUAAAAGGUCAACAGCCACAGAAUCUCUUGUCUCUGAUGAUGCUAAGCAGCUGUAACCGAACUUGUGUGAAAUGAGUCGAGGUUGAGGUCACAAGGAUCUCCAAGGUCACGGGGAUGACAGAAUCCUUAGACUCCGAUGAUGCCGAACAGCUGUAACAAAACCUUUGACAUGUGUUUCGUUCUUGAGGUCAAAGAGGAUGAAAGAAUCAUUCGAGUCUGAUAAUGCCGAACAGCUGUAACAAAACCUUUGACAUGUGUUUCAUUCUUGAGGUCAAAGAGGAUGAAAGAAUCAUUCGAGUCUGAUAAUGCCAAACAGCUGUAACACAACCUUUGACAUGUGUUUCAUUCUGAAGGUCAAAGAGGAUGAAAGAAUCAUUCGAGUCUGAUAAUGCCGAAAAGCUGUCACAGAACCUUUGUUUGAAAAGUGUUGUGUUCUCCCAGGUAACGAGGAUGAGAUAACCUUUCAACUCCCAUGACCCCGAACAGCUGUAACACAACGUUUGCUUGAUAUGUGUUUUCUGAGGUCACGAAUAUGACAGAAUCCUUCAACUCAGAAGAUACCAAACAGCUGGAACUGAACCUUUGUUAGAAAUGUGUUGAUUGUUUUAAUAUUGGAAGAACAAUCCUACCAUUAUCUUUGAAAUGUGUUGCAUUCUCUGACAUUGCAAAGACAACAGAACCCUUCGGCUCUGAAGAUGCCGAACAGUUUUUACUGUGUUAUUUGACUGAAAUGUGUUACUCUUGGAGGGAUGUUUUCAGUUUCUUUGAGGAUAGAGAUCAGUGUUGUCCAUAUUCUUGUUCUUCUGAGUGAGGGAACCUGGAUUAUAUCAUACUGGGUAGACUUUUCGUGCCUGCCUCGAGGCAUAUUGGUCCAUAAAAAAUAACAAGGUAUGGUUAAUGCUAUAUCCCUUUCACUGCAAGCAAUUAACAACCAUUCAGCAACUAUUCAAGUCCAGUCCAUAGGGACAGGUCUAACAGAUUUUAAACAGAACAUUUUGAAAUCUUUUAACAAUGUGAUACAUCAGGAAGAGGUUUUUGUGGAUGAUUGAUUCAUCAUCAUAAAACCCAAAACAAUGCUUUUAAAACUUGUACAAAACUGUUAACAAACAUUUUUCAAAUGUACAUUUGCAAUUUUUUAUGACAAUACAUUGUAGUGUAAGCAUGGAAACCACUGACUCUUUAUAGAUAGACUUACAAUAGACACAAUGUGUGUAAAAGAAUGUGACGUUUAUCUUUGUGUCUUGUCAGAUUUACGCACUGAAGUCACUGAUGGUGCGGUGAGGUGAAAUGGGGUUUAA
rnacentral:misc_RNA from 1 species